rnacentral:rRNA from 1 species
UACGAAGGGUGCAAGCGUUACUCGGAAUUACUGGGCGUAAAGCGUGCGUAGGCGGUUUGUUAAGUCUGUCGUGAAAGCCCUGGGCUCAACCUGGGAAUUGCGAUGGAUACUGGCAAGCUAGAGUGCGGUAGAGGGUAGUGGAAUUCCCGGUGUAGCGGUGAAAUGCGUAGAUAUUAGGAGGAACACCAGUUGCGAAGGCGGCUCUCUGGACUGUAACUGACACUGAGGCACGAAAGCGUGGGGAGCAAACAGG